ACCCGAGGAGCAAGUCGAAGGGAAAGAAGAAGAGGAAGGAGGGAGGAUUUUCCACAUGCAAUCUGAUCUUUGAACCAAGGUUUUAAUUUGUGGCUCGGUUUACUAAGAAGAAACUCAAACCAAGGGCCCAAUUCAUCCAAGAGGAAAGAGGAGUUGGUGGAAGCAUAGCUAAGGUUGAAGGAGAGAAGAACUUAGUGCCUAGUUAAUUGAUUAAUCUUGAAUACAUUCUGUUAUGUUUCCUCUUUUCUUUUGUGAUAUGUGAUGUUUAUACUUUCCUUUUGAGAAGUUACCUAAAUUUCACUUAUAGGGCUACCUUCAUAAAGAGGAGUGAAUAGGGGUAGUUUAGCAUA